UUAAAUACUUGCAAAUCUUCAAUCAUUCAGCUUUUCUCUGGGAUCGGUGUUUGAGGAUGGUCUUGCUGCGUCACCAUUUCAGCCGCCGGUUCCUCAAUGACAGUAAACCCAGAGGAAUCACAGAGUAUGUACUCCUGUGCUAUGACUAGGAUCUGUCUCCUCAAAUUGCAUCCUCGAGGUCUCUGCAGGAGGGGCCUUCUUGCUUUGUGUCCUGCUGGCAUAUUAGAGGCAUCCAGAAACCUCACGCUAAGUAAUAAGGAACAGCACAAGUUCAAAUAGAACAAACUGAUCACCCACUGCCUCCUCAAGCCUUCCAACUGGUGUCACUCCCUGUGUACUACCCGCUUCCUGUGGAAGCAUCUACCCAUUGUUCCCCUAUGGAGAGGCAAACAGCUUUCCUUUUGAAGAAGAAAAGAUAAUUUCACAUCUAUUCUGUGAAGAAUUACAUCAAAAGUUAUUGCCACCAGCAUGGAAACAUUAACACUGAAGCAAAUCUGUGGAUCUUUUAAUAUUUUAUAGCUUCUUAACUCUGACACUUAGGACAACAUACUAAUACACUCAGUAAAAAAGCCUAGUGUAAAUCUUUCAA